UACAGGGGGUGCAAACGUUGCUCGGAAUUAUUGGGCGUAAAGCGCGCGUAGGCGGCCGCUUAAGUCGGAUGUGAAAGCCCCUGGCUCAACUGGGGAAGUGCACCCGAAACUGAGUGGCUUGAGUACUAAAGAGGGUCGCGGAAUUCCCGGUGUAGAGGUGAAAUUCGUAGAUAUCGGGAGGAACACCGGUGGCGAAGGCGGCGACCUGGGUAGAUACGUGACGCUGAGGAGCGAAAGCGUGGGGAGCGAACAGG
rnacentral:rRNA from 1 species